ACAAUUUCAAACAUUCGCCGACCUUAGACCUAUCAGUGUGACGACCCGGCCGGUCUUCUUAAGAAUUAACGCCUCGAUCCCUUAUUAACUGCUUUCCCCUAGUCUAUUUCCACUAAAUUGAAUUGCUGGGAUGUUUGAUUUUGAGUUUCAGAGAGUUUCGGUACACUUGGUCCCUAAAUGAGAACUUAAGUGUUGGAAAGUUGGCCGUAGUUAGAACAGUGUGAAGACAGCCUCAAAAAAAAUCUAAUGGUUCCAUUAGGUGAUUUUGGGGUUGUGAGCGUGUUUGGAAUGUGUUUUAGAGGUUCAUAGCUAAUUUAGGCUUGAAAUGCCGAAGUUUGAGUUUUUUGAAGUUUUCGGUCGGAGAGUGAGAUUUUGAUCCGAG
rnacentral:lncRNA from 1 species